GAGAGGGUGAGAGCCCCGUAUAGUCGCACACCAAGCCUCUGUAAAGCUCCUUCGACGAGUCGAGUAGUUUGGGAAUGCUGCUCAAAAUGGGAGGUAUAUCUCUUCUAAAGCUAAAUAUAGGCCAGAGACCGAUAGCGCACAAGUAGAGUGAUCGAAAGAUGAAAAGCACUUUGAAAAGAGGGUUAAAUAGCACGUGAAAUUGUUGAAAGGGAAGCGCUUGUGACCAGACUUGUGCCGGGCUGAUCAUCCACCGUUCUCGGUGGUGCACUCGACCCGGCUCAGGCCAGCGUCGGUUCUCGCAGGGGGACAAAAGCUUCGGGAACGUGGCGCCUCCGGGCGUGUUAUAGCCCGCUGCUUAAUACCCCUGUGGGGACCGAGGUUCGCGCUCUGCAAGGACGCUGGCAUAAUGGUCAUCAGCGACCCGUCUUGAAACACGGACCAAGGAGUCGAGGUUUUGCGCGAGUGUUUGGGUGUAAAACCCGCACGCGUAAUGAAAGUGAACGUAGGUGAGAGCUUCGGCGCAUCAUCGACCGAUCCUGAUGUAUUCGGAUGGAUUUGAGUAAGAGCGUAUAGCCUCGGACCCGAAAGAUGGUGAACUAUGCCUGAAUAGGGUGAAGCCAGAGGAAACUCUGGUGGAGGCUCGCAGCGGUU
rnacentral:rRNA from 1 species